rnacentral:rRNA from 1 species
UGGGGAAUAUUGGGCAAUGGGGGAAACCCUGACCCAGCGACGCCGCGUGGAGGAUGACGGCCCUCGGGUUGUAAACUCCUGUCAGGUGGGAAGAAGGACCAUUCGGUUAAUACCCGGAUGGAAUUGACGGUACCACCAAAGGAAGCCCCGGCUAACUCCGUGCCAGCAGCCGCGGUAAUACGGAGGGGGCAAGCGUUAUUCGGAUUUACUGGGCGUAAAGCGCACGUAGGCGGCACUGUAAGUCAAAGGUGAAAGCCCUCGGCUCAACCGAGGAACUGCCUUUGAAACUGCCUUGCUUGAGUCCGGGAGGGGGGAGCGGAAUUCCCAGUGUAGCGGUGAAAUGCGUAGAUACUGGGAGGAACACCGGUGGCGAAGGCGGCUCCCUGGACCGGUACUGACGCUGAGGUGCGAAAGCGUGGGUAGCAAACAGGAUUAGAUACCCUGGUAGUCCACGCCGUAACCGAUGGGCACUAGGUGCAGCGGGUGUCGACCCCUGCUGUGCCGUAGUUAACGCAUUAAGUGCCCCGCCUGGGGAGUACGGUCGCAAGGCUG